UACGUAGGCAGCGAGCGUUGUUCGGAGUUAUUGGGCGUAAAGGGUGUGUAGGCGGUUGUUUAAGUUUUGUGUGAAAUCUCCCGGCUCAACUGGGAGGGUGCGCCGAAUACUGAAUGACUUCGAGUGCGGGAGAGGAGAGUGGAAUUCCUGGUGUAGCGGUGAAAUGCGUAGAUAUCAGGAGGAACACCGGUGGCGAAAGCGGCUCUCUGGACCACAACUGACGCUGAGGCGCGAAAGCUAGGGGAGCAAACAGG
rnacentral:rRNA from 1 species